rnacentral:rRNA from 1 species
UACGGGGGGGGCAAGCGUUGUUCGGAAUUACUGGGCGUAAAGGGCUCGUAGGCGGCCAACUAAGUCAGACGUGAAAUCCCCAGGCUCAACCUGGGAACUGCGUCUGAUACUGGAUGGCUUGAAUCCGGGAGAGGGAUGCAGAAUUCCAGGUGUAGCGGUGAAAUGCGUAGAUAUCGGAAGGAACGCCGGUGGCGAAAGCGACGUGCUGGACCUCUUCUGACGCUGAGGCGCGAAAGCCAGGGGAGCAAACGGG